AGUGCCGUCGGUAGCAUUCCAGAUAAUAUUCUUAUUACGAUUUUUGUGCUUCUGGCGUCGUUUUUCUGCGUCACUUUCGUCGAUAUUGAUUUGCGUUAUAAACAAUGGAUAUUUUAUUGUCAUUUCUGUGAGAUGUGGAACACAACAAUCUAAAAAAUCCAGCUGAUUUACUGUCGACACUAACGCUUGGCAUCUGGUGGUGCGUCUAAAUCUUCGACCAAUUGAUCCACAAUCUUUAUACGUCGGGCAGUCACGACCGGCAGGAGCUUAUCGCCAAGAUCUUGCAUUUCCUGUAUUUGCGCAAACGUUCCUACAUUGUAUAUUUCGGUCAGAUUGUCAACAACUUCACUAGGGUUGUCGUCAUCCCUUUUGAGGAAUAUACCGGCGUAUGGUUGGUUCAACUUAACCUUUCGCCUUAUUAGGUCUGAGUAUCUGGUUGGUGACAUGUCAAUUACGUUUACAUUUACGUUUAUUGAAAGAUGGCGAACAUCAACCUGUUCUUUUAGUGGAAAUGGAAAACAAGCAUGAAUCAUUUAAACGCACCGAAGAAGUGAAGGCCCUUACACAGGAAUUAAUUAAAACCAUACGGGAUAUUAUAACGAGGAAUCCACUGAGGGAAAGCUUAUAGCAAAUAUUGCAUCAGAACCAACAUAUGGUAGACAACCCAGUAUAUUUUUGCUAUCUUGGGGCUUCUUUGUCGGCUGCAGAUUCACCAGAAUUGCGAGAAAUUCUCGAGGAAAUCGACAUUCCAAAGCGACUUAUGUUGCUACUGAAGAAAAUAUUGGAACUGUCAAAAUUACAAGCGAAAAUUGGCCGCGCAGUAGAAAAGAAAGUGAAAUAACAACACCGGAAGUGCAUUCUACAGGAGCAGCUAAAGGUUAUAAAGAAGAACUUGGCAUCGAGAAAGAUGACAUAGAUGUUAUUGGCGAAAAGUAUCGCGAGCGAAUUAAAGAUAAGGUAGUUCCAAAAGCGGUGGCCGAUGUUAUCGAAGAAGAGCUUAACAAACUAAACUUUCUAGAAAGUCAUAGCUCGGAAUUCAAUGUAACGCGAAAUUAUCUUGACUGGCUAACUACCUUGCCAUGGGGAGUAAUGAGUUAAGAAAAUUUAGAUAUCGAUCGUGCCACUGAAGUUUUAAACGCUGAUCACUAGGCAUGGAAAACAUCAAAAAGCGAAUUCUUGAAUUCAUCGCCGUGAGCCAAUUGAAGGGAACGACCUAGGGAAAAUUAUCUGUUUCCACGGUCCUCCCGCUGUAGGCAAAACGAGUAUUGCGCGGUCGAUUGCUCAAGCUUUGAAUUGAGAGUACUUCCGUUUCAGCGUUGGAGGCAUGACCGAUGUUACUGAAAUCAAAGGACAUAGACGGACCUACGUCGGUGCGAUGCCGGGCAAAUUAAUAGUGUUUGAAGAAAACCAAAACCGAAAAUCCACUGGUCAUGAUUGAUGAGGCGGACAAGAUUGGAGAGUAAGAUAUCUUACGUGGAAAAAGUUUUCUUCUUCGUAGCAAUUUUUAUUUUUUAUUUGUUUCAAUUCAUAAAGGACUGUUGCAUUACAUCAACAGUCCUUUUGAAUCAAU